GGGUGCUUAACUCAGUUGGUAGAGUACCUCGUUUACACCGAGGCUGUCAGCGGUUCGAGCCCGUUAGCUCCCA
rnacentral:tRNA from 1 species